GACGGUUUCAGUUUCAGCUUCAGCGACGGAGAACGAGAGUGCAGCAGAAUCUGCGGUCCUGUUAUCGACGCCAUUUUGCUCCUUCCGUUCGCCAAAUUCACCACAUCAGAUUUGAUACAUUUGAUUUUGAAGCUCCCUAUUUUGAUGCUGAAUCUUCUUGGCUUCUUGAUUAUCAGCCACAUUAUACUAGGAAGCUGAAAAGUUAACUUGCCGGAUCAUUGUUUUUCUACUUUUAAUACAGUUCUUGAAGAUUUCACAAUUUAACAUGAACAUGGCAUGAGGAAGUUAAGAAAGCAAAGAGCCUUACAAAAUAUGAAGUGGGAGCAAAACCAAAUCCACCAAAGAACCCAAGAAGAUCGCCAAAGAAAGGAAAAGUGACCCCAAUGAAUAACUUUUAGCAUGGAUAAGUUUUCAAUCUCACCAACAUAAGCAGAUCGAGAAACGAGUCUGAGUGCUAAUCCUGAAGGGAAGUUCAAUCUUCUGGUCAUCAAUCUCUCAAUCAAGUCAAAAACAGGCAUAGCAUAGACCUACAUUGAUAUUCUCCACAACAAUUAUUUAAGCAACAUAAAUAACUUGGAGUAGAAGCUCUUGGUUUUUGCAUUCUGACCUGGUA